CUGUCAGUAAAAAAAGAACUCUCCUCUCCUCCCGUACUAUCCCCACCAGGCUCCUCAUACACAUCUGCCAUUUCUUCCGAUUUUCUCUGGCGAUGGACGGCGUCGCUGUGCCCCAUCAGGAAACUAAUCCUCAUGCUAUCCCAGAUCCACAUCUCACUUCUUUUCUCCUGAUUUUUCUUCCUUGGUGGUGGCGCAUGUGGCUGGGUGAGUGCGUGGAUCUCGGCGACCUCGUCGACUCUAGCAACGCGGUCAUGGAGAUGUCCAGGGAGAACGUGGGCUGCACUGCUCAAAGUUGUCAGAGCUGGAGGCCCUGGAUGUUGGGGCUGAGGAGGCAUCGAGGGAGGUGGCGGAGGAAGAAAUAUCAGCAAGACGUGAGUAUCUUCUGCGAAUGGCGGUUAAUUCUUGCCCUCCUGCUAUCCGGACUUCUACCAAAUAAUUGUCGCGCCAGGCAAAGCUAUCGGUAUGUACGACAGUAGAAAGGUCGGUGAUAUGCUUACAUCCUCUUCUGCAAUUAUUUAAGUUACAAAAGCAAGGUAUGUUACUAUGUAUUGUGCUAGCCUCAUAUAGAUUUGGCAAAGUAUAGUUUCUUGAAAUUGUGAAAUCAAUCCUAAUGUCUGAAACUCCGGUCUUGUAUUAUGUUCCUGUCUAUCUGCAGAUUUGGCUAAAAUAGCAUGUUUGUAAAGGAAACUACUUAAAAGAAAGCUAUCAAUCUGUUUUAGAGUAAGAACAUCGCUAACAUUCACACCCUUAAUCUAAUAAGUAUCAUUCUUAUCCAAGUUGAUAUCAAGUACUCUCACUUAUCUUGGUCGAUACAAAUAGACGGCUAUACUAUUUAUUUCAUAAGCUACUAAUCUAUUAAUUAUCUAGACAACAUCCUUGUUCUCAUGGGAUUUUCUUUACAUAAUUCAUCUUCAUCUUCAAGCAUUGUUUUUUCGGCUUUUGCUUUAAUCUAAAAUUGUCUAUAAGAUUCUUCCAAAUAGUAACAUAGACUGUUUCACCCUGUACAAUCAAAUAUUGUUAGUAAUUGUUGCCUAAUCUGACAGAAAAAUUCCAAUCAAAUAUAUUAAUAAACAGACUUGCUGAUUGAUCAGUAUCAUAUCUAGGCUAAUAAGUUCAUCGGUGGUAGGAUUGACUGAAUCCCACAUCCGCAUUACUUUUACUUGAAUGUUCUAGUUCUGUCCCCUUGUAUUUAAGUCGCUCAACUUCUUGUAUGCCAUAGUGUUUUGCCUUGAAAAUUAAGGGAACAAUUUGUCAAUUGAAGUAUUUAUGAAGAUUCUAUCCGGAAAAAAAUAAUAUUGUUAAUAACAAUUACCCAAACCUGAUGAUUCUGACCAAAAGUGCUUUGGCGUCACUUCUUCUGACGUCUAUUGUUGUAGUUGGGCGUGGCUUCGUCGUGCAUUGAGCGUGCUUUGGUGUGACUUCGUCGAACGUCGAGUGAAGCGGCUGGAGGUGGCUUUUUGUGUCUAUGUCGAGUCGCCGGGUCGCGUGUGGCAUCUUCAAGCCGUCUUGGUUGCCAGACUUCUAAUUAUUUGGUGUGUGUGCUUCUACAGCCGGCUCUACUUGUUUAUAUAUGGGUGGAGGUGUGUGGGUUGAGGUGGCUGAGACCGUGUGGAACAGCAGAUCAGAAACCUGUCUUUUUUGCAUGUAUUGGUUCCUAUUUUGUAACUUUCUCACGCGAGGUCUGGUUAGGUCUAGUCGUUGCCCUUAUUUGUUUAGGUUUCCUAGUUGUUUACGUUUGACUUCUAUUUUUGCUUCCUUGACAUGUUGAUGGAAAGUUUUUUUC